CCUGGGAGCCGGAGGGCGCAGGGCCGCCUCGUGGUCCUCCCACCCCAGGGGGCGAUCCGCGGCCUGGAGGGCUGGAGACGCGCCAGCGCGGAGGGGAAGGAACGCGUUUGAACCUGUGCGCUGGCCGGGCAGGCCUGGGGGCAAGGGAGGUGUCUCUGGGAAAGGCAGAGCUGUCUCCUCCCCGCAGCCAGGUCGGAGACCUUUGCGGGCCCCCGCAUCUGAUCCCAAUCCUUCUGAGGUGUUUAUUUUCUCUCCUCGGUGGAAGUUAUCUUUGUGUCUUUGCCAGAAAGGCCGCCCGCGGUUUGCAGUGCCCUCCCCCCAGAAGUAUUCCCUCCGUCCGAGGACCUGGGAGCAGUCCCCCGCCCCCGCCCCGCUCUUUCUGCUUCCUCUGGGACCCCACCCCCAGUUCUCAGCCCCUGGCUUCUCCUGGCCCAGGGUCACAGGCCCGGAGGGGGCUGCUAGCCGCGUGUCCACACACUUGGCUCUGCCCUGGGAAGCCCCAGGAAAAGUCCUCAGGAGCCAUGGCUAGCAGGGUGCCAGCCUGUGCCAGACACCAAAUCACUUACUGAAGUCACAGGCUCUUGCCAGAUCAACCUGGGGCCUGGGCUGCCUUUGAGCUCAGAAGGAGGAGCCCCAGAGGCUGAAGAAGCCCCUGCUGGCUGCCAGCUGGGUCAGGGUGAUGUAUCUUGGCAGGCGUCUGAAAACACCGUGCCCGCCCAGACUUUGGGCUCUGCCCCUUGGUCACCUUAUCGCUGAGUUUUUCUGCAAAUUGUACCCUUCUCUAACAGAGGAGGAAACGAGCCAGGUGCAGACAGUAAUUCAUUCUUGUGUAUGAUUUUGAGGCUCAGGGUCCAAGGAGGGUCCCCCACCACUGCUUUGGCUCCCCUGCUUUCAUUGUCACCCCAUUGCCUUCACUGACCUUCAUGGCCACUGUGCAAGGACCCACAGAGGAUGUUAGAGCCUCCGCCCCUGCUCUUGGGUUCAGGUCAGAACCCAGGUUGUCACGGUCAAGGCACAAGGUGCUACACAGGAGCAGGGCAGACAAGAUGCUGCCUUUCUCUGGCCCAAGGAUCUCAGACGAACUGGUGACCAGAGCUGAUCCUAUACCUUGGAGCCCUUUUUGAGCGUCUGCUGUGAAAGCAUAAGUGCAAAAGGAACAGAGAGGUGACCUCUGAUUGGAACAAGCAUGUUAGCUGACAGGGUAGGGAAUUCAGUAUUUCCAGAGCAAACAGCAGGAGCAAAGGCUAAUAGCGCCAGGCAGUUUGGAGGCGGGGUUUAGGAACUUAGCAAAUAACAUGCGUUCUGCCCAACAGAACUCCGCGAUGCCGGAACACCUUGCUUGGGUCCCAAACAUUUAUUGACCCCCUUCUUAGGUGCAAAGUUCUAAAGUCCUCACUGAAUCCUAUGAUGCAGAGACUAUUAUUCCUGUUUGACAGACGAGGAGCCUGAGGCACAGGGAGGUUAAGUACCAUGCCCUAGAUCACAAGGCUUUAAAUGGCCGAGCCAGGAUUUUCUAAAGUGUACAAUUCGCUGAUUCCUUUUUUUUUUUUUUUUAGUAGACUUAUCAAGCUGUGCGACCGACAGCACAAUUCAGUUUUAGAAUAUUUUCAUUCCCCCAGAAUUUUCUUCAUAAGGCAGAAACCAAUAUUCAAACGGAGGCCGUGGGGGCUCCAGAGACCACGCCCUUAGCCCACUUGCUGCAUUGACUUUGGGGAAGAGAAUCCAAGGACAUUCUCUACAUUUUUGCCUGCGCUGCCCUGGCUGCUGAGAGGGUCCAGUACCUCCCGAGAGAGAAAUGGGGGCCUGGUGCCCUGGCACCUCCAGCCAGCUGCUGUCUUCUCCAGCAGGGCUGGAGCCCAAGGAGGCCGCUCCUCCCGUCCCCCAGGGCAGGGCUGAACCUCCCGCUGACUCAGCCUGGUUGCACCACGUGGAGGAGUGAGAAGCAACAUGCAC